UACGAAGGGGGCUAGCGUUGCUCGGAAUCACUGGGCGUAAAGCGCACGUAGGCGGAUUGCUAAGUCAGGGGUGAAAUCCUGGAGCUCAACUCCAGAACUGCCUUUGAUACUGGCGAUCUCGAGUCCGGGAGAGGUGAGUGGAAUUCCCGGUGUAGCGGUGAAAUGCGCAGAUAUCGGGAGGAACACCAAUGGCGAAGGCAGCUCGCUGGGACGGUACUGACGCUGAGACGCGAAAGCGUGGGGAGCAAACAGG
rnacentral:rRNA from 1 species